GAGGGCACAGCUCAGUGGUAGAGCACUUGCUUAGCAUGCACAAGGUCCUGGGUUCAAUCCCCAGUACCGCCA
rnacentral:tRNA from 1 species